GGUACUUGAAGAGUGGUUAUCCCUGCUGUGUUCGCUGUAUUUAUGACGAAUCAUACAGGGACAUCCAGUUUUCCAGUACC
rnacentral:pre_miRNA from 1 species